rnacentral:rRNA from 1 species
GCGACCCCAGGUCACGCGGGACUACCCGCUGAGUUUAAGCAUAUCAAUAAGCGGAGGAAAAGA